rnacentral:rRNA from 1 species
UGCAGAAUCCCGUGAACCAUCGAGUCUUUGAACGCAAGUUGCGCCCGAAGUCGCUAGGCCGACGGCACGCCUGCCUGGGUGUCA